GACGAACGCUGGCGGCGUGCCUAAUACAUGCAAGUCGAGCGGACUUAAAAAGCUUGCUUUUUAAGUUAGCGGCGGACGGGUGAGUAACACGUGGGCAACCUGCCUGUAAGACUGGGAUAACUUCGGGAAACCGGAGCUAAUACCGGAUAAUCCUUUUCUCCUCAUGUAGAAAAGCUGAAAGACGGUUUACGCUGUCACUUACAGAUGGGCCCGCGGCGCAUUAGCUAGUUGGUGAGGUAACGGCUCACCAAGGCGACGAUGCGUAGCCGACCUGAGAGGGUGAUCGGCCACACGGGGACUGAGACACGGCCCAGACUCCUACGGGAGGCAGCAGUAGGGAAUCUUCCGCAAUGGACGAAAGUCUGACGGAGCAACGCCGCGUGAGUGAUGAAGGUUUUCGGAUCGUAAAACUCUGUUGUUAGGGAAGAACAAGUACGAGAGUAACUGCUCGUACCUUGACGGUACCUAACCAGAAAGCCACGGCUGACUACGUG
rnacentral:rRNA from 1 species